CAGGAAUUUUGAAUUUUUAAUUUCUCCUUUUUUUCCCCUUUUUUCUCCCAUUUCCAGCUGGAUUUCCUGCAGCAGCCGGGCAGGUUGGAGCCCCUCGUGGGGAGCCCUUUGUUCUCCACCCAACGCCUCGAGGGCAAUGGCAGCUGCACCCCCUCGUCCAUCACCUCCCCCGCCACCGACCCGGGCAGCGACGCCUCCAAUUAAAGAAUUUUUACUUCAAAAGACCUUUUUGAGAGGAAAGAGGUCAAUUAACACUAAUUAAUCACGGCCUGAUGGAACAAUUAACUCAAAAAAUGAAUGAAUUACCUCAGAAGAAGCCAAUAGAUUGUGAUGGCAGCCACACCUCUACCUCUCAGUAUUUAUAACUUCAUUUCGCCUCAGAAAAUGCCGUUUUUUUAAGGAAAAAACUUUGGAUUUUACACAAAGAACCUGAAGAAGAAGGGAAAAAAAAAAAAAGUCUUGGCGUUUGUCUCCACUUUUACGGCGGAAAAAAUGGAUUUAUUUUUGGUUUUGUCUGGUUUUUUUACGCUGGGAUUUCUGUUCUAGGUGAGUUGAACCCCUCAUAUUGUAAGUGGAUGUUCUCUGCAUUGGAAUUUUCUAGAGGAAAUUUCUGUAGGAAAUUCUAUAGAGAAUUCUGUAGGAAAUUUUUCUUAAUUAAUUUAGCUAAUUAAUGGAAGAGUUCCUUUACCAAACUUCUCGCCGGACGUCGCCCGCAGGCCGGACCUUCCACUGGUGUCAUUCCAAGGGAUUUCAUAUCGGGAAAUUCCACGGCUUCACUUUUUCUGAUGAAAAAGUCCAAAAAUAAAAUGAAAAACCCCAAAUUUACCACAAAACAGCCGAACCACAGGAUUUCCCCAUGGGAAUUCGAGGAGGUUUGUGCCGUUCUGGUGCUGCUCUCAGAGUCCGCCCCUUUCAGUUGAGAUUUUAUCAAAGACAAUAAAUUUCCAAAGCCUUUUUUUUCCC